rnacentral:ribozyme from 1 species
AACCACAAAAUUAGAGUCAAUGAGGUAGGAUCCAAAGCCUCUUGAAGGUCACAUAGGCACUCCUACCCAACUCCUAUUCUAUCAUGUCAUCUUCGUGCGGAGUGAAAGAACCAACCCUGGGAGGA